rnacentral:lncRNA from 7 species
GGAUCAUUCCGUGCUGGUGGCUGAUGGGGAAGGAGCGGCGCGGCUCCGCGGUGGGGCUGGGGCGCGUUGUGCUCCCCCUCUCACCGCUCUCCCCCCGCCGCUCUGCCGGAUCCUGGGGGAGGCGCCGAGGGGCGGGGAGCGGCGCUUACAGCCGGAGCCGCCCGGGGAAGGGGCGCGCAGCCAUUCUCCUUUACAGAUGUGAACAAAGGUGACCCCUAGGUUGAAGUUUCUUCAAGGAUGUCUUGGUCUGGAAUGUGGUUUAACAGCACAGGUGAAGAUCUUUGGAAAAGUAGAGCAUCUGUGUCAUUGAUUGGAAAUGCUGUAUACUGACAAACCUAUGGAAUCCUGUCUUGUCAGAGUCCUUAACAGAGCUGAGCAGCAGUGGUGGUCUGAGCUUGGCUCACCGUGGUGGGAAGUAGUCAUGAGGACCUGUGGUUAGUCUCCUGUUGGAAGAUGAAGAUACUCUGUUCUUAUCUGUACCUCCUGGUUUUUAAUGUUCGAGUACAAAGAAGUUGAUGUUGUGAGUAAUCACUGCAGUUAAUGUUUGAUUUUUGAAUGUGGUUCACAUAUUUAUCCAAUUCCUUUGGUGCUGAAAGUCAUCUGUUGUUAAUUAUGUGACCAACAAAUUGUAAGUACGGGUUUGCACAUAGAAGCUGAUCAUGUGUCAGGAUCUUUGGCCCAAAUCUGAAAUGCUAAAGGCACUCACUUCUGGAAGAUGCUGAAACUUUAUUGAAUUAUGUUUUUACGAGCUUCUUUAUGAUUAUCUUUUAGGUAUUUUCUGAUCUAAUGUUGAAAAGCUAUUUAGUGUAACUGCAGUUAAGUGAUUUCAUCUCAAAUGUUUAUUUUGCUAUGCACAUCUCUUCCCCCUUUUCUUUUUUUAAUGUGAAGUGCUACAGCUUUACUUUAAGUUUAUAUGGAAAGCAACUAUACUUUAAGAAGUAUGCAGGAGGAUUUCCCAUGUCUGUAAACAUACUGGGUAGUUGAGCAUUUGCUGAAAUGAGCUGCCAAUUGUUUUCUGUCUUAUAAUACUCCUUUGUAGAUCUGCUGGUAUCUGGCUUGUCCCUGCUGCAUCUAUACAAUGCGUUCCUUCAUGUUUUGUGUAACAUCUUCCUCAGUCAUUUCUGUGUAUGUAAAUACAGAAACUGGAAAGAGAAAACUCUGUUUGUGAAUUGUCCCUCUUCCUGCCCUCACUUCUCCACCCCUCCAGCGUAGCUGGAAGGUUGGUCAUGAGCAGGAAGUGAGAACAAUAUUGAUUACUGGUAUCCAGGAAUUCUGAGGGGGAAGGGGGCAAAAAUGAGCACUGGAAAACAAUCUACGUGUUCUGACAACACAUUUAUGCUUUGAGACCCUUAGAAUGGGAGUGCUGUCGGUAGAAAAAGUAAAUGAAGACCUCGAGGUGUUGGUUGCAGAAGUAUCGAAGCAACUGCCAUCGUAAGAGGCUUGGGUGUUGGUUUUGUGCCUUCUGUUACUUGUUCAGUUCUUUAAAUCACUCCUAAUAGUGGUUAGUGAGGUGCAAGCAGAGUGAAGCCUAAACCCAGAAGGGUUUUUGUGUAUUUACCUUUUUUUUUUAGCUUGUCAAACUCAAAGCAGAGUUACAUUAAAACAAAGUAUCUU